UCCGGUAUCAAUCCACCAUGUAUUAUCAUCUUGUGCCAUAUUAAUUUCAGAUAUCAUUGCAACGAACUUUUUGUUAUUAUCAGCCUUAGAAGAUGAUUUCUUCUUUAAAAAUCGACAUUCAUUCUUGAAAUGUCCCGGCUUUCCACAAUGAUAGCAUGAGCCCUUUUGUUUUUUUUUUUGAACUUAGGUGCUCUAUCAGUCUGAUUGAACUUUCUCUUGAAUGGUUUAGUAGUCUGUACUUCCUCCGUAACAUGUACUUUGGCAUUUUCAGAAUUUAGGUUCUGA
rnacentral:lncRNA from 1 species